CCUACGGGAGGCAGCAGUAGGGAAUCUUCCACAAUGGGCGAAAGCCUGAUGGAGCAACGCCGCGUGGGUGAAGAAGGUCUUCGGAUCGUAAAACCCUGUUGUUAGAGAAGAAAGUGCGUGAGAGUAACUGUUCACAUUUCGACGGUAUCUAACCAGAAAGCCACGGCUAACUACGUGCCAGCAGCCGCGGUAAUACGUAGGUGGCAAGCGUUAUCCGGAUUUAUUGGGCGUAAAGGGAACGCAGGCGGUCUUUUAAGUCUGAUGUGAAAGCCUUCGGCUUAACCGGAGUAGUGCAUUGGAAACUGGGAGACUUGAGUGCAGAAGAGGAGAGUGGAACUCCAUGUGUAGCGGUGAAAUGCGUAGAUAUAUGGAAGAACACCAGUGGCGAAAGCGGCUUUCUGGUCUGUAACUGACGCUGAGGUUCGAAAGCGUGGGUAGCAAACAGGAUUAGAUACCCUUGUAGUC
rnacentral:rRNA from 1 species